rnacentral:rRNA from 1 species
UACGGAGGGAGCUAGCGUUAUUCGGAAUUACUGGGCGUAAAGCGCACGUAGGCGGCUUUGUAAGUUAGAGGUGAAAGCCUGAAGCUCAACUUCAGAAUUGCCUUUAAGACUGCAUCGCUUGAAUCCAGGAGAGGUGAGUGGAAUUCCGAGUGUAGAGGUGAAAUUCGUAGAUAUUCGGAAGAACACCAGUGGCGAAGGCGGCUCACUGGACUGGUAUUGACGCUGAGGUGCGAAAGCGUGGGGAGCAAACAGG